rfam:Erinaceus europaeus unplaced genomic scaffold scaffold00268, whole genome shotgun sequence
UUCUUGCAGGAAGAUCUGUGUUCUAAUGGGAAUUAUUAAGCCCUGUGGUGCUUGCUCUCCGUGUGUAGAGCUGCUUUUAGGGAACUGUGGGUGGUGCAGGCCUGCUUCCUCAGGUAAGCUGACCACUGCAUUGGUGAGGCUGCCAGGAGGUGGGACUUCCAUGCCAUGGGUGGAACACUGUACUUAGUGUGUUGAAUUUGGUAUAAGUGUUCUGGAUAAUUCUUGGGCAUGUUCUUGUCCCUGGCACUCUUUAGUAUUUCUGUCUCCAUUUGCUCAUAUCUUGUG